rnacentral:lncRNA from 1 species
CAGUGUUGUUGGAUCCAGGCACAGAUACUGGGAUUGACCCCUUGGGGCAGCCAAGAAGAAACAGGCAGUUGUUAGCUCUGUUAAAAAAUGCUUGCUACAGUUCAACAUUUAGGAUUUAGCUCUGAUUCCUUGGAGACCUCUAUUUCACUUCUAAGAUAAUUUCCCUCAGGCAUACAUGCGGGAAAAGAAAUUUUUUAAAAAGUAUAUCAGCCCAGUCAUAUUUCCUAGAAUGAUUACUGUUCUGGUCGUGAGAACCACUAGAAGCUGCUGUGUGCGGAAAGUCAGCCUGAGAUUUGAAACGCAUGAUUAAGUAGGGUAUACUAACUUGCUUCCCAGGUUUCCUCUGCCUGUCAGUCAAGACAUGGGUUCCAGUUCUAUCUCCAAAGACCUACAUUGGGG